UAGGGGUGAAACUGAUACGUCAAGU
rnacentral:piRNA from 1 species